rnacentral:rRNA from 1 species
CGCGUAGGCUGUGCUGUAAGUCAGGCGUGAAAGCCCCGGGCUCAACCUGGGAAUUGCGCUUGAUACUGCGGCGCUGGAAGGUGGGAGAGGAUGGCGGAAUUCCCAGUGUAGAGGUGAAAUUCGUAGAUAUUGGGAAGAACACCGGUGGCGAAGGCGGCCAUCUGGCCCAUUUUUGACGCUGAGGCGCGAAAGCGUGGGAGCAAACA